AGAGUUUGAUCAUGGCUCAGGACGAACGCUGGCGGCGUGCCUAAUACAUGCAAGUCGAGCGAGCGGAACCAACAGAUUUACUUCGGUAAUGACGUUGGGAAAGCGAGCGGCGGAUGGGUGAGUAACACGUGGGGAACCUGCCCCUAAGUCUGGGAUACCAUUUGGAAACAGGUGCUAAUACCGGAUAAUAAAGCAGAUCGCAUGAUCAGCUUUUGAAAGGCGGCGUAAGCUGUCGCUAAGGGAUGGCCCCGCGGUGCAUUAGCUAGUUGGUAAGGUAACGGCUUACCAAGGCGACGAUGCAUAGCCGAGUUGAGAGACUGAUCGGCCACAUUGGGACUGAGACACGGCCCAAACUCCUACGGGAGGCAGCAGUAGGGAAUCUUCCACAAUGGACGCAAGUCUGAUGGAGCAACGCCGCGUGAGUGAAGAAGGAGGUUUUCGGAUCGUAAAGCUCUGUUGUUGGUGAAGAAGGGUAGAGGUAGUAACUGGCCUUUAUUUGACGGUAAUCAACCAGAAAGUCACGGCUAACUACGUGCCAGCAGCCGCGGUAAUACGUAGGUGGCAAGCGUUGUCCGGAUUUAUUGGGCGUAAAGCGAGCGCAGGCGGAAAAAUAAGUCUAAUGUGAAAGCCCUCGGCUUAACCGAGGAACUGCAUCGGAAACUGUUUUUCUUGAGUGCAGAAGAGGAGAGUGGAACUCCAUGUGUAGCGGUGGAAUGCGUAGAUAUAUGGAAGAACACCAGUGGCGAAAGGCGGCUCUCUGGUCUGCAACUGACGCUGAGCUCGAAAGCAUGGGUAGCGAACAGGAUUAGAUACCCUGGUAGUCC
rnacentral:rRNA from 1 species